rnacentral:lncRNA from 1 species
CCGUAGUAAUUAGUUUUUUUAAUUUAUUGUUUUCUCUUGAGUGAUAUAUUAUUCUUAGUUGCUUUGUUUGUUGUUUUCAUGUUUGUCUAUAUGUGGUGCUUGCAACGAGUAGAUGAGAGUUGCUUGUGGUUGUUGAAGAUCAGAAGAUGAUGACCGAAAGUUGGUGGUGUGAGAAUUAAGUUUUGAUCAAGGCAUGUAU